rnacentral:rRNA from 1 species
GCGGAAUAGCCACUGGAAACGGUGAGUAAUGCCUUAUACGCCCUUCGGGGGAAAGAUUUAUCGGAGAAGGAUCGGCCCGCGUUAGAUUAGAUAGUUGGUGGGGUAAUGGCCUACCAAGUCUACGAUCUAUAGCUGGUUUUAGAGGAUGAUCAGCAACACUGGGACUGAGACACGGCCCAGACUCCUACGGGAGGCAGCAGUG